GUGAGGAAUUAUUGGACAAUGGAGGCAACUCUGAUCCAGCCAUGCCGCGUGCAGGAAGAAUGCCCUAUGGGUUGUAAACUGCUUUUAUUUAGGAAGAAACCCCCCAACGUGUUGGGGGCUGACGGUACUAAAMGAAUAAGGACCGGCUAACUCCGUGCCAGCAGCCGCGGUAAUACGGAGGGUCCAAGCGUUAUCCGGAAUCAUUGGGUUUAAAGGGUCCGCAGGCGGGCUAUUAAGUCAGUGGUGAAAUCUCUUGGCUUAACCAAGAAAUUGCCAUUGAAACUACUAGUCUUGAAUUCGGUCGAAGUGGGCGGAAUGUGUCAUGUAGCGGUGAAAUGCAUAGAUAUGACACAGAACACCGAUAGCGAAGGCAGCUCACUAGGCCUGAAUUGACGCUCAGGGACGAAAGCGUGGGGAGCGAACAGGAUUAGAUACCCUGGUAGUCCACGCCGUAAACGAUCAUUACUCGUAUCAGCGUAUAUACAGUUGGUGUCUAAGC
rnacentral:rRNA from 1 species